rnacentral:rRNA from 1 species
UACGGAGGGGGCUAGCGUUGUUCGGAAUUACUGGGCGUAAAGCGCACGUAGGCGGCUUUGUAAGUUAGAGGUGAAAGCCCGGGGCUCAACUCCGGAAUUGCCUUUAAGACUGCAUCGCUAGAAUUGUGGAGAGGUAAGUGGAAUUCCGAGUGUAGAGGUGAAAUUCGUAGAUAUUCGGAAGAACACCGGUGGCGAAGGCGGCCUGCUGGGCAGUGGCUGACGCUGAGGCGCGACAGCGUGGGGAGCAAACAGG